GAACGCUGGCGGCGUGCUUAACACAUGCAAGUCGAACGAUGAAANCACUUCGGUGGUGGAUUAGUGGCGAACGGGUGAGUAACACGUGGGCAAUCUGCCCUUCACUCUGGGACAAGCCCUGGAAACGGGGUCUAAUACCGGAUAACACUCUGUCCCGCAUGGGACGGGGUUGAAAGCUCCGGCGGUGAAGGAUGAGCCCGCGGCCUAUCAGCUUGUUGGUGGGGUAAUGGCCUACCAAGGCGACGACGGGUAGCCGGCCUGAGAGGGCGACCGGCCACACUGGGACUGAGACACGGCCCAGACUCCUACGGGAGGCAGCAGUGGGGAAUAUUGCACAAUGGGCGAAAGCCUGAUGCAGCGACGCCGCGUGAGGGAUGACGGCCUUCGGGUUGUAAACCUCUUUCAGCAGGGAAGAAGCGAAAGUGACGGUACCUGCAGAAGAAGCGCCGGCUAA
rnacentral:rRNA from 1 species